rnacentral:rRNA from 1 species
GACGGAGGAUGCAAGCGUUAUCCGGAAUGAUUGGGCGUAAAGCGUCCGCAGGUGGCAGUUCAAGUCUGCUGUCAAAGACCGGGGCUUAACUUCGGAAAGGCAGUGGAAACUGAACAGCUAGAGUAUGGUAGGGGCAGAGGGAAUUCCUGGUGUAGCGGUGAGAUGCGUAGAGAUCAGGAAGAACAUCGGUGGCGAAGGCGCUCUGCUGGGCCAUAACUGACACUCAGGGACGAAAGCUAGGGGAGCGAAUGGG